GACGAACGCUGGCGGCGUGCUUAACACAUGCAAGUCGAACGGAAAGGCCCUGCUUGCAGGGUACUCGAGUGGCGAACGGGUGAGUAACACGUGGGUGAUCUGCCCUGCACUUCGGGAUAAGCCUGGGAAACUGGGUCUAAUACCGGAUAGGAGCCAUUUUUAGUGUGAUGGUUGGAAAGUUUUUUCGGUGUAGGAUGAGCUCGCGGCCUAUCAGCUUGUUGGUGGGGUAAUGGCCUACCAAGGCGGCGACGGGUAGCCGGCCUGAGAGGGUGGACGGCCACAUUGGGACUGAGAUACGGCCCAGACUCCUACGGGAGGCAGCAGUGGGGAAUAUUGCACAAUGGGCGCAAGCCUGAUGCAGCGACGCCGCGUGGGGGAGGACGGCCUUCGGGUUGUAAACGCCUUUCGCUAGGGACGAAGCUUUUUGUGGCGGUACCUAGAUAAGAAGCACCGGCUAACUACGUG
rnacentral:rRNA from 1 species